UCCUGGUGGAGAUGGUACAAUAUGACUGCAUAUCCAUCGUCCUCAUCAGCCGUUGAGUGCUCCUGGCUGGCCUCGGUGAGGUCGGCCUGGAGGCGCCUUGAGUAAAAAUAGGAAUU